AACGAACGCUGGCGGCAUGCCUAAUACAUGCAAGUCGAACGAGACCUUCGGGUCUAGUGGCGCACGGGUGCGUAACGCGUGGGAACCUGCCCUUAGGUUCGGAAUAACUCCCCGAAAGGGGUGCUAAUACCGGAUAAUGUCUUCGGACCAAAGAUUUAUCGCCUUUGGAUGGGCCCGCGUUGGAUUAGCUAGUUGGUAGGGUAAAAGCCUACCAAGGCGACGAUCCAUAGCUGGUCUGAGAGGAUGAUCAGCCACACUGGGACUGAGACACGGCCCAGACUCCUACGGGAGGCAGCAGUGGGGAAUAUUGGACAAUGGGCGAAAGCCUGAUCCAGCAAUGCCGCGUGAGUGAUGAAGGCCUUAGGGUUGUAAAGCUCUUUUACCCGGGAUGAUAAUGACAGUACCGGGAGAAUAAGCUCCGGCUAACUCCGU
rnacentral:rRNA from 1 species